rnacentral:rRNA from 1 species
CCCUACGGGGAGCUGCAGUGGGGGAUAUUGCACAAUGGGGGAAACCCUGAUGCAGCGACGCCGCGUGGGUGAAGAAGCGCCUCGGCGCGUAAAGCCCUGUCAGCAGGGAAGAAAAUGACGGUACCUGAAGAAGAAGCCCCGGCUAACUACGUGCCAGCAGCCGCGGUAAUACGUAGGGGGCAAGCGUUAUCCGGAUUUACUGGGUGUAAAGGGGGCGCAGACGGCGAUGCAAGCCAGGAGUGAAAGCCCGGGGCCCAACCCCGGGACUGCUCUUGGAACUGCGUGGCUGGAGUGCAGGAGGGGCAGGCGGAAUUCCUGGUGUAGCGGUGAAAUGCGUAGAUAUCAGGAGGAAAACCGGUGGCGAAGGCGGCCUGCUGGACUGCAACUGACGUUGAGGCCCGAAAGCGUGGGGAGCAAACAGGAUUAGAUACCCUAGUAGUC